rnacentral:lncRNA from 1 species
UCCUUCCUCUCUCUCUCCCGUGCGACUCCUCCAUCUUCUUCUUCUUGCUGCUCGACGGAACCGAGCAGACCAGCGGAGUCGAAGAAGUCGCAUGCCUCCGCCGUUCACCGCUGCCGCACGCCGUUCGCGGGCGCCACCCAUCCGCACGCGAGCUGCUUCGCCCCUCCCGUUCUUGCUUCGUCCGCCACCCAGCCGUCGUCCCUCCACCGUCUAGAGCUGCGUCCAGCAUCGCCGGCCGUCGUUCGUUGUCGCAAAGGCCGCCGGAGCCACCGCCUGCAGCUGUCGGGACCAGCUGCUGCCGCCACCGGUCCCCCUUUCGCCCAAGCCAGCGCCGGAACUGACCUUCUUGGCCCCAAAAUCAGAGUUGGAAAAAUGGUAUGGCAGCACCUAUUUGGCCCGUUUUGGCCGGCUUCCCGGCCCCGGAUGCUCGGCCCACCUUGAGAAAAGUCGAUCC